UACCGAGGUCUCAAGCGUUGUUCGGAAUCACUGGGCGUAAAGCGUGCGUAGGCUGUUUCGUAAGUCGUGUGUGAAAGGCGCGGGCUCAACCCGCGGACGGCACAUGAUACUGCGAGACUAGAGUAAUGGAGGGGGAACCGGAAUUCUCGGUGUAGCAGUGAAAUGCGUAGAUAUCGAGAGGGACACUCGUGGCGAAGGCGGGUUCCUGGACAUUAACUGACGCUGAGGCACGAAGGCCAGGGGAGCGAAAGGG
rnacentral:rRNA from 1 species